GCGGGGGUGGCGAAACAGGCAUACGCACCAGCCUCAGACGCCGGCGGGCCACGGCCCAUGCGGGUUCGACUCCCUCCGCCCGCACCA
rnacentral:tRNA from 1 species